CCCUAUAUUAAAUUGAUCCAGAGAUAACAAUACAACAGAUUAUUUGGGCAGACAGAAACAUUAUCAUCAAAGCCUUGAGGUUUAAUCAUAAACAUUAAUGUCAUUCCAUAAUACUCUAACAUCCUUCACUUGAAUCACUUAACUAAUCUACACUAACAAAAAUUAGAAACUUAAAGGUUAAUAAAAGAAAGAAUUAAUCUACAUAAGAGAGACGUAAAUUAAAGAAAAUUUACCAAGUUAUAUGUUAGAACACAACUUGCGCUAAUUCCAACUUUUUUACAUCCACAAAGAGAGCACACCCGCAGAUUAAAAURGGAGUUAAGCGUGGCUCACCGGAGCAGUCUGCAGACCUCUGGGGGUACUUAGCGAUGGUUCAGACCAACAGCCUUGUCUUACCUCUGGAUGAAGGUUAGCUUUUAGACUGUCUCACAAAGUCCCAUGUAGAUAGUCUGGCGCUCGGAUAGGGUUGGCUCCCUCUCAGCUCACGCAAGUCCGGCACGCCUCUGCGGUUCUGCUGGGUCCUGACUUUGUGACUGAAAGUCAGUUUAGAAUUCUACGCAACUUGUUUACUCCCAAACACCUCCGUCAAAGUACGAAAAUAAAAUAAAA